AGAGGGGGAGCGGGAGGGGGAGGGGGAGGGAAUUGGGAUAAUGGGCAUUGGAGAGAGGUAGACCGCAGCGUGAACAAGGGAAAUCACAGUGAAUGGAGUAAGAAGAAUGCAUUUUUAAGUAGUGAAGAUAAGAGUCUAAGAGAUGGUAAUCGUUCGCGAGAUUUGGGGCUCAAUGGACAGCUUGAUCACCCAGGGCCACCAGCAGGGAGCAAUCUCCAUUCUGUUUCAGCAUCGGACAUUGAAGAGCCUUUGUUAAAUUUGGAGGCUGAAAUGAUUGAGGAUGUGAAGGAUGAAGGUGACGAAUUGGAUGAUCUUGGUGAAGAACUUGUCGAUUCUUUAUUGCUUGAGGGUGAAUCUGAUGGUAAGAAUGACAGGAAGCAAAAUCGACAUUCUCGUGAGAAGGAGUCUAGGUUAGAUAACAGGGGACAGCAGAUGCUUAGCCAAAGGAUGAGAAGGCUUAAAAGUCAGAUGGAAUGUCGCAGAGACAUUGAGGGACUAAAUGCUUCUUUUCUUGAAAUUUACGAGUCACUAGUACUGCCAGAGGAAGAGAAGGCAAAGCAGAAGCAAUUGUUAGCAUUAUUAGAGAAACUAGUCAACAAGGAAUGGCCUCAAGCUAAGUUGUAUCUUUAUGGUUCAUGUGCCAAUUCAUUUGGCGUUUUGAAGAGUGAUAUUGAUGUUUGCCUUGCCAUUGAGGAUUCAGAUAUUAACAAGUCAGAAGUGCUGUUAAAGUUGGCAGAUAUAUUGCAAUCUGAUAACCUCCAGAACGUGCAGGCAUUGCCCCGGGCUAGGGUCCCCAUAGUAAAGCUUAUGGAUCCAGUGACUGGAAUCUCUUGUGACAUAUGCAUUAACAAUGUUUUGGCUGUUGUAAAUACCAAGCUUCUUCGGGAUUAUGCACAAAUAGAUGUGAGGUUACGGCAGUUGGCUUUUAUUGUGAAACAUUGGGCGAAAUCAAGAGGAGUUAAUAAAACUUAUCAGGGAACCCUUUCUAGCUAUGCGUAUGUUUUGAUGUGCAUUCAUUUUUUACAGCAGCGUAGACCUGCUAUUCUUCCAUGCUUACAGGAAAUGGAGGCAACAUACUCGGUCACUAUAGAUGAUAUCAAAUGUGACCGAGUAUGUUGCCUCCAUUUCCUG
rnacentral:misc_RNA from 1 species